rnacentral:SRP_RNA from 1 species
GCCGGGCGCGGUGGCUCACGCCUGUAAUCCCAGCACUUUGGGAGGCCGAGACAGGCGGAUCACCUGAGGUCAGGAGUUUGAGACCAGCCUGGCCAACAUGGAAAUACCCUGUCUCUU